GACGAACGCUUUCGGCGUGCUUAACACAUGCAAGUCGAACGGAAAGGCCCUGCUUUUGUGGGGUGCUCGAGUGGCGAACGGGUGAGUAACACGUGAGUAACCUGCCCUUGACUUUGGGAUAACUUCAGGAAACUGGGGCUAAUACCGGAUAGGAGCUCCUGCUGCAUGGUGGGGGUUGGAAAGUUUCGGCGGUUGGGGAUGGACUCGCGGCUUAUCAGCUUGUUGGUGGGGUAGUGGCUUACCAAGGCUUUGACGGGUAGCCGGCCUGAGAGGGUGACCGGCCACAUUGGGACUGAGAUACGGCCCAGACUCCUACGGGAGGCAGCAGUGGGGAAUAUUGCACAAUGGGCGGGAGCCUGAUGCAGCAACGCCGCGUGCGGGAUGACGGCCUUCGGGUUGUAAACCGCUUUCGCCUGUGACGAAGCGUGAGUGACGGUAAUGGGUAAAGAAGCACCGGCUAACUACGUGCCAGCAGCCGCGGUGAUACGUAGGGUGCGAGCGUUGUCCGGAUUUAUUGGGCGUAAAGGGCUCGUAGGUGGUUGAUCGCGUCGGAAGUGUAAUCUUGGGGCUUAACCCUGAGCGUGCUUUCGAUACGGGUUGACUUGAGGAAGGUAGGGGAGAAUGGAAUUCCUGGUGGAGCGGUGGAAUGCGCAGAUAUCAGGAGGAACACCAGUGGCGAAGGCGGUUCUCUGGGCCUUUCCUGACGCUGAGGAGCGAAAGCGUGGGGAGCGAACAGGCUUAGAUACCCUGGUAGUCCACGCUGUAAACGGUGGGUACUAGGUGUGGGGUCCAUUCCACGGGUUCCGUGCCGUAGCUAACGCUUUAAGUACCCCGCCUGGGGAGUACGGCCGCAAGGCUAAAACUCAAAGGAAUUGACGGGGCCCCGCACAAGCGGCGGAGCAUGCGGAUUAAUUCGAUGCAACGCGUAGAACCUUACCUGGGUUUGACAUGGAUCGGGAGCGCUCAGAGAUGGGUGUGCCUCUUUUGGGGUCGGUUCACAGGUGGUGCAUGGCUGUCGUCAGCUCGUGUCGUGAGAUGUUGGGUUAAGUCCCGCAACGAGCGCAACCCUUGUUCACUGUUGCCAGCACGUUAUGGUGGGGACUCAGUGGAGACCGCCGGGGUCAACUCGGAGGAAGGUGGGGAUGACGUCAAGUCAUCAUGCCCCUUAUGUCCAGGGCUUCACGCAUGCUACAAUGGCUGGUACAGAGAGUGGCGAGCCUGUGAGGGUGAGCGAAUCUCGGAAAGCCGGUCUCAGUUCGGAUUGGGGUCUGCAACUCGACCUCAUGAAGUCGGAGUCGCUAGUAAUCGCAAAUCAGCAACGCUGCGGUGAAUACGUUCCCGGG
rnacentral:rRNA from 1 species